rnacentral:rRNA from 1 species
ACUCCUACGGGAGGCAGCAGUGGGGAAUUUUGCGCAAUGGGCGAAAGCCUGACGCAGCAACGCCGCGUGAGUGAUGAAGGCUUUCGGGUCGUAAAGCUCUGUCGAGGGGAAAGAAGUGUAUUGUGGCUAAUAUCCACGAUAUUUGACGGUACCCCUAAAGGAAGCACCGGCUAACUCCGUGCCAGCAGCCGCGGUAAUACGGGGGGUGCAAGCGUUGUUCGGAAUUAUUGGGCGUAAAGCGCGUGUAGGCGGUCUGAUUAGUCUGAUGUGAAAGCCCUGGGCUCAACCUGGGAAGUGCAUUGGAUACUGUAAGACUUGAAUACGGGAGAGGGCAGUGGAAUUCCUGGUGUAGGAGUGAAAUCCGUAGAUAUUAGGAGGAACACCGGUGGCGAAGGCGGCUGCCUGGACCGAUAUUGACGCUGAGACGCGAAAGCGUGGGUAGCAAACAGGAUUAGAUACCCUGGUAGUCCACGCUGUAAACGAUGAGAACUAGGUGUUGCGGGUA